GUUUAAAUCAUAUUAUAGUCGAAACUUUAUAAAAACGACGAAGAAUUUCGAUCUAUCAGCGCAGAGGUCGCUUAAAUCUACUUUACCACUGAGACAGAUCAGUUUAUUUAAACGUGCUUCCAUUACGAAACUGAUCGAAGCGAAAAAGGAUUAGAGACGAAGCUUAAACUCUCCAAUGGAGGAAAAUUUCUUCUAUGCGUAAAAAUACCAUCGAAGGAUUUUGAUUGGUUUUUCGAAUUAAUUCGACCAUUAAAAAUAAGAGAAGAUUUCUGAGGGAAAGAAUAAGAAGGAAAGAAACAGUUUGAUCAGCUAAAAUUAUUAUAAAACUUAAAUUUAGCUUUAUAAUAAUAAUAAAUAAGAUUUUGGAGGAAGAAAUGGUAUUAUUUUAAGGAGAAUGCUUUUACGUGAGAGACAGUUUAUGGAAUUAAAAUCUGAAAUGAAAUUCUUUUAACGAUUGUAAAUGGGCGAGAAAGAGAUUUUAGCUUUUAUUCUCACGAAGAAUUCACAAAUUCAAGAGCACGAAUUAUAAUAUCUAACAUAUCAAUGAUUCGAAUCGUUGAAAAACAAUAGCUACCGUACAUACCAUUAUCAACAUAAUGAAAUUGAAAUACGAUCAUCAUUCUUUCUUCUAUGAAAGAAAGAAUUUAAUAUUUAUAAUGAAAAAAAAAAAUAUAAAUCUAAUUUCAUGAAAAAUAUGGAAGGAAAAAAUUAUAUUUAUUCCAAGAAAAAUGAGGAAAGUUUUAUAUAAGAGAACUCAUUAUAAUAAUAAGACAAAUGGAGAACAUGAAUCUCUCAGUAUAACUUAGAUAAAUAGUCAAAUUUUCUAAAAUUGCUAAAAAGUAGAUUAUAGAGUUUUAUAUAGUUUUAAUGUAGAAAUAUAUAAAAAAUAUGUCGUGUUAUUUAAGAUAAAAUUAAAUUCAUAAAAUAAUUAAUUUAAAAUAUGUUAUUUAACAAAUAUUGUAAAUUAUGUAAAUAAAAUUUAUAUUAUUCUUAAUUA